AGAAUCAACGCUGGCGGCGUGCCUAACACAUGCAAGUCGAACGAGAAAGUGGAGCAAUCCAUGAGUACAGUGGCGUACGGGUGAGUAACACGUGACUAACCUACCCUCGAGUGGGGAAUAACCUCGGGAAACCGGGGCUAACACCGCAUAACACCUACGGGUCAAAGGAGCAAUUCGCUUAAGGAGGGGUCGCGGCAGAUUAGUUAGUUGGCGGGGUAAUGGCCCACCAAGACGGUGAUCUGUA
rnacentral:rRNA from 1 species